UGGUGGUGUGGGAAACGAGCUGCUCAUCACCACACACUUUUUGUGACCCCGAUUUAUUUAUCCCAAUAUACAAUGGGCGCAACGUUACCGUUAAAGCUUUAAUGCCGGCUUACCCAUUGAAAAAUGAAAAGGUCAAGUUCCAUUUACCAAAUUAUCCCGAACAUAAACACAAAAGAUUCUGUUAACUGACGUUAAAAACGCCGAUGCGCCUGUGGAAUAUUCCGUCAUCAAACGAGGUUGAGGGUAUUAUGGACAAUUCAAACCAGAUCUAUCUUGAUCCCUAGAUUAUCCUUGUAAGUCCUGUACUCGGAGUGAAGAUCAAGCGUCAAAUAUUUUAUUGUAUUCUUGUCGAACGAUCAUCGUAAUCUUCGUAGCGAAAAUGGGCAGGAAAUU
rnacentral:lncRNA from 1 species